GGGUUGAAAUAGUCAAAGGUUGUUUGAUAGGGAUGACAAAAAAAUCAUAGGCGGCAGGCGUACGCACAGACAAACAGCAUAGCUAGUGUACUUAUUAAGGCAAAAUGCAUAGCCUUCGCUGACUGUAUUACAGGCAACAUGCUUGGACAUGUAAAUUAUCCACAGACAAACUUCAUAAGAGGUCUGAUCACAACAAAAAACAUGGCAUUAAGGCCCUAACGAGCUGUUAACCUGUAUUCGCACAGGACAAAACCACUGCAUUAGGCCCUACGGCUGUUUAACUGUAUUCCACAGGAGAAACAUUGGCAUUAGGCUAGCGCUGUGUAACUGGUAUUCCAGCAGGAGCAAAACAUGAUAAGCCUACCAGCUGUUACUGUAUUCCAGGACAAAACGUUUUUGUUUUUUGUUGUUAAUGCAUUAGGCCUAGCAGGCUGUUAACUGUAUUCGCCAGGAAAAACAUGCAAUUAGGGCCUACGGCUAACGUAUUCCACAAGGACAAACAUCGCAUUGAGGCCUACAGCUGGUUUAACUGUAUUCCACAGGACAAAACAUGCAUUAGCCUCAGCUGUUAACUGAUUUCCACAGGACAAAACAUGCAUUAGGACCUCGACAGGACAAAACAUUCAUUAAGGCUACGGCUGUUAACUGUAUUCCACAGGACAAAACAUGCAUUAGGCCUACAGCUGUUAACUGUAUUCCACAGGACAAAACAUGCCUACAGGCUGUCUAACUGUUAUUUCCACAGGACAAAACAUGCAUUAGGCCUACAGCUGUUAACUGUAUUCCACAGGACAAAACAUGCAUUAAGCCUACAGCUGUUAACUGUAUUCCACAGGACAAAACAUGCAUUAGGCCUACGGCUGUUAACUGUAUUCCACAGGACAAAACAUGCAUUAGGCAUACAGCUGCUGUAUUUGAUCAGUUUUAUCUCUUUGACACAGGACAAAACAUGCAUUAGGCAUACGGCUGUUAACUGUGUUUGAUCAGUUUUGUCUCUUUGACACAGGACAAAACAUGCAUUAGGCAUACGGCUGUUUACUGUGUUUGAUCGGUUUUGUCUCUUUGACACAUUCCAUGUUUUAAUUCUCUAUUCUAUUUGUAUGUUAUCUACAGCUAGUGUCCUGUAGUAUAUGACAAUCUAUAACGUGAUAUAUGAUAGCAGUUAAACAGAAACAUCAUCAAAAUAGUUCCUUGUUAUAGUAAUAUACUUUUAUAUUUAGUUACUUCAGUACAAGGCAUAGUUUAUAUGAAAAUCUUUUAAAAACAAGAACGUGUCCCCAGUACACAGAUGCCCCACUCCCACUAUAAUUUUCAAUGUUCAGUGGACCAUGAAAUUGGUGUAAAACUGGUGUAAUUUGGCAUUAAAUUAGAAAGAUCAUAUCAAAGGGAACAUAUGUACUAAGUUUCAGGUUGAUAUAUAUAUAUAUAUAUAUAUGACUUUUACUUCAUCAAAAACUACCUUAACCAAAAACUUCAACCUGAAGUAGGACAGACGAACGGACGAACGCAGAGACCAGAAAACCUAAUGCCCCUUUACUCUGGUAGGUGGGGCCUAACAAUUGUGACUUUGCAAAGUAACUUAAACACGAAAAAUAGCACGUCUUUUUUGAGAUUUGCAUUUUCUAUACCCUCUAUGACAACUCUGUAUUUUGUUCUGUGCAAUUGAGCAAUUCUUUGGCAUAGAAAAUAUAUAUUUUUAUUUGGAUAAAGUAAAGAGUAGUCAAGGGUCUUGUUCAAUAACAAAUGAUAUAUAAGAAAGAAAAUAUAAAUAUUUCAACAGAAGCUUCAUGCAUUGAAACUAAACAUUAAGACAGGGUUGUUCUCCGUGCUUUGAAACUAAACAUUAAGACAGGGUUGUUCUCCGUGCAUUGAAACAAAACAUAAUAUAUAAGACAGGGUUUUUCUCUGUGCAUUUAAACUAAAGAAUGGCAAAAUCUUGGAAGACCCCACUUAUAUCUGGAGGUUUGAAUUAAUUUAGAUUGUUUAACAUUAUGAUCGAGUUGAAGAACAACCAUGUUAUUAGCAGCUGGACAUCACAUGUUCCUGGUUUUAUGAUUUAAGUCAAAAAUGCUUUAGGGGCCAGCUGAAGGACGCCUCCGGGUGCGGGAAUUUUUCGCUACAUUGAAGACCUGUUGGUGACCUUCUGCUGUUGUUUUUUUCUAUGGUCGGGUUGUUGUCUCUUUGGCACAUUCCCCAUUUCCAUUCUCAAUUUUACUGUAAAAAUUUGUUAAGGUUGUAGACAUGGUAGAGUAUUAUCAUAACUAGAUAUCAAUAUGAUAUAAAUAUUUUUGAAAAAUUCUUUUAAAAAUUCUUUGGCAAAAACAGGCAUUCUGUAAAAGAAAUAAACUAUAAAUAAACUAUUUAUCAACCAACCCUAGCAUUUAUACAUAUUACCAUUCUGUAAAUAAUAAACUAUAAAUCUAUAAAUAAACUAUUCAUCAACCAAAUAUUAAAGUAUGUGAAGUAAUAAGAAGUGAAUUUUGAAAAAAAUAAUAAUUCCAAAAUUGUAUAUCUUUUCCCUUAUUGAUGAACUUAGGCUAGGUUUAAAAAUGUGUGUACGAUGUUUGCAUCUCCUCCCUCCCCCCCUACAAUGAAGGGUACACAAUUGUUUUGCCCCAUAACACCAUUUUUUUUCAUAAAAGACUUCAAUUAAUACAUAAAAGGUCUUAUAAUCAAAAUUCAAGCAGAUUGUCAAUUUUGUUUCUUUCGAUUUCAGACCCAAAUAAUACAAACCAGUGCCAAUAUAACAUGUAUAAGGUAAAAGUCUGAUGCAGCUUUCCCACCAUUUUUUAAAACUUAAAUACCUUCAGCUGGGAAAGGAGUUUCACAACCUGUCAUUAUUUUUAGCUUAAAUUUCUCCUUUAUUAAUUAAUGCUCUAAAGUAUCAAUGUCUAAUUCUUGAUGUUUUUAAUUUCACCGAAAGACAUCAAUAAUUAGAAGAACAAUUAACAAGCUAUUAUUUGAACUUGGAAUUAUUUUUAAUUAUGGAAUUUGCAUUAUUUCUUGUGCUUGAAAUUUUUAAUGCAUUCCAUGUUUAUUCUUUAUUAUAAUGUUCUGUGCUGUGCACAACACUUUCUAUAACAAAGAAGAUAGCACAUUUUCAAUAGAAUGUACUGUGCCGCGCACAACACUAUAAUCCAUACAAAAUACAUUGUGAGGAAAGUGUUAUGCACUGCUCAUAACAGA
rnacentral:lncRNA from 1 species